GAUGAACGCUAGCGGGAGGCUUAACACAUGCAAGUCGAGGGGUAAAUGGUAGCAAUACUAUGAGACCGGCGGACGGGUGCGUAACGCGUAUGCAACAUACCUUGUGCAGGGGGAUAGCCCGUGGAAACGCGGAUUAAUAUUCCAUAGUCCAGCUAUAUCGCAUGGUAUAGUUGGUAAAGAUUUAUCGGCACAAGUUUGGCAUGCGUCUGAUUAGCUUGUUGGUAGGGUAACGGCCUACCAAGGCUACGAUCAGUAGGGGUUCUGAGAGGAUUAACCCCCACACUGGUACUGAGACACGGACCAGACUCCUACGGGAGGCAGCAGUGAGGAAUAUUGGUCAAUGGGCGGAAGCCUGAACCAGCCAUCCCGCGUGAAGGAAGACAGCCUUACGGGUUGUAAACUUCUUUUCUGUCAGAAGAAUAAGCUUGUCGAGACGAGUGAUGCCGGUAUGACAGGAAUAAGCAUCGGCUAACUCCGUGCCAGCAGCCGCGGU
rnacentral:rRNA from 1 species